UUUACUUCUUGUCAAUUUGUUCGCGCCAAGUUUAUUGGAUUUUAGUUAGGUUAAAAACGCAGAACCCCGGCACUUUGACGUGACUGGUAUUCUGAACUUGUACUUUGUACUUGUCUUGUUUCAUGUGAUUUGUUAAUGGGCUGUUAGUUCAUUAUUAUAUAAAACUUUUUACGCAAAGGUAAGUACCACUUAUUUAUACAUUGUAUUGAUAGUUGUACCUAGCUUUUCUAUAGUGGUCUGGGAUAAACAGUGGAACGCUUAUAGGUAACAGUGUGUGGUCUAUUCAGAACCAUGUGCCGAGACAAUAUAUGUAUGUAGGUGUGAAACUGUGAUAUACUUGUAAUGUAUCAGGUGGUACAGUUAGACGAACUUGCGGGCAGUACCCUGGCAGUGAUCAACCAGAACUGCAGAACUGGCUCACACCACUCAAGCAAGAGGUACUGUGUCCUCCGAUUAAGGGGAGGAAAGCGUUUAGAAAGGCUCUUUCUCACAAAGUCCAAGCUAACAGCAAUUGGAGGCCGUUUGGAAUAAAAAGAGUUUUCUUUCGAACAGGUUCGUAAGAAUAGUAGUUUUUUUAUCUCCAGUUUUUAUUAUUAUUUUUGUGGCUGGUCAGAACUACUUUUAAUAAAUAAGUUGUAACCAUCUUUGCUUGCUUCCUGUCAAUAAAAAACUAUUUAAGAUU